rnacentral:rRNA from 1 species
GAUGAACGCUAGCUACAGGCUUAACACAUGCAAGUCGAGGGUCAGCAUGGUCUUAGCUUGCUAAGGCCGAUGGCGACCGGCGCACGGGUGAGUAACACGUAUCCAACCUGCCGUCUACUCUUGGACAGCCUUCUGAAAGGAAGAUUAAUACAAGAUGGCAUCAUGAGUCCGCAUGUUCACAUGAUUAAAGGUAUUCCGGUAGACGAUGGGGAUGCGUUCCAUUAGAUAGUAGGCGGGGUAACGGCCCACCUAGUCUUCGAUGGAUAGGGGUUCUGAGAGGAAGGUCCCCCACAUUGGAACUGAGACACGGUCCAAACUCCUACGGGAGGCAGCAGUGAGGAAUAUUGGUCAAUGGGCGAGAGCCUGAACCAGCCAAGUAGCGUGAAGGAUGACUGCCCUAUGGGUUGUAAACUUCUUUUAUAAAGGAAUAAAGUCGGGUAUGGAUACCCGUUUGCAUGUACUUUAUGAAUAAGGAUCGGCUAACUCCGUGCCAGCAGCCGCGGUAAUACGGAGGAUCCGAGCGUUAUCCGGAUUUAUUGGGUUUAAAGGGAGCGUAGAUGGAUGUUUAAGUCAGUUGUGAAAGUUUGCGGCUCAACCGUAAAAUUGCAGUUGAUACUGGAUAUCUUGAGUGCAGUUGAGGCAGGCGGAAUUCGUGGUGUAGCGGUGAAAUGCUUAGAUAUCACGAAGAACUCCGAUUGCGAAGGCAGCCUGCUAAGCUGCAACUGACAUUGAGGCUCGAAAGUGUGGGUAUCAAACAGGAUUAGAUACCCCGGUAGUCCACACGGUAAACGAUGAAUACUCGCUGUUUGCGAUAUACGGCAAGCGGCCAAGCGAAAGCGUUAAGUAUUCCACCUGGGGAGUACGCCGGCAACGGUGAAACUCAAAGGAAUUGACGGGGGCCCGCACAAGCGGAGGAACAUGUGGCUUAAUUCGAUGAUACGCGAGGAACCUUACCCGGGCUUAAAUUGCAGAUGAAUUACGGUGAAAGCCGUAAGCCGCAAGGCAUCUGUGAAGGUGCUGCAUGGUUGUCGUCAGCUCGUGCCGUGAGGUGUCGGCUUAAGUGCCAUAACGAGCGCAACCCUUGUUGUCAGUUACUAACAGGUUCCGCUGAGGACUCUGACAAGACUGCCAUCGUAAGAUGUGAGGAAGGUGGGGAUGACGUCAAAUCAGCACGGCCCUUACGUCCGGGGCUACACACGUGUUACAAUGGGGGGUACAGAGGGCCGCUACCACGCGAGUGGAUGCCAAUCCCCAAAACCUCUCUCAGUUCGGACUGGAGUCUGCAACCCGACUCCACGAAGCUGGAUUCGCUAGUAAUCGCGCAUCAGCCACGGCGCGGUGAAUACGUUCCCGGGCCUUGUACACACCGCCCGUCAAGCCAUGGGAGCCGGGGGUACCUGAAGUGCGUAACCGCGAGGAGCGCCCUAGGGUA